GAGCCUUAAACUUCCAUCAAGAGCCUUCAGACUUUUCAACCCCAAGUGGCCUCUUUUUUUGUCUUUCGAUAUGAUGCACAAAUUUACUAAAUGAGUUUUCUUCCAUCCAGAGUUGCCACCCAACAGAAGUCAUUCCUCAACUUGUUUAUCUAUUUUCCAUCAAUGGUGGCAGAGGAACAAGGACAUCAGUUAUUUAGGGAUUCCAUCCAAGACACGUUAAUCAGUGUCAGUCUCCCAUCAAAUGACAGGUACUACUUUCCAAAGGGCCAACUUGACACCUUGCCAUACUCCAACAUCCUUUAGUUUCCCGAAGGCACCCAAGAUCACAGCCAGAACCAGAACUACAUAAUUUACAUU
rnacentral:lncRNA from 1 species